GGGGUUGUGGCUCAGUGGCAGAGCACUUGCCUAGUGUGCAUGAGGCACUGGGUUUGAUCCCCAGCACCA
rnacentral:tRNA from 1 species